rnacentral:rRNA from 1 species
AACGAACGCUGGCGGCAUGCCUAACACAUGCAAGUCGAACGAGACCUUCGGGUCUAUUGGCGCACGGGUGCGUAACGCGUGGGAACCUGCCCUUAGGUUCGGAAUAACUCCCCGAAAGGGGUGCUAAUACCGGAGAAUGUCUUCGGACCAAAGAUUUAUCGCCUUUGGAUGGGCCCGCGUUGGAUUAGCUAGUUGGUAGGGUAAAAGCCUACCAAGGCGACGAUCCAUAGCUGGUCUGAGAGGAGGAUAAGCCACACUGGGAAUGAGACACGGACUAGAAUCCUACGGGAGGGAGCAGUGGGGAAUAUUGGACGAUGGGCGAAAGUGUGAUCAAGCAAUGCCGGGUGAGUGAUGAAGGCCUUAGGGUUGUACAGCUCUUUUACACGGGAUGAUAAUGACAGUAACGGGAGAAUAAGCUCCGGCUAACUCCGUG